rnacentral:rRNA from 1 species
AUUGAACGCUGGCGGAAUGCUUUACACAUGCAAGUCGAGCGGCAGCGCGGGGCAACCUGGCGGCGAGCGGCGAACGGGUGAGUAAUACAUCGGAACGUGCCCAGACGUGGGGGAUAACUACUCGAAAUAGUGGCUAAUACCGCAUACGAUCUAAGGAUGAAAGCGGGGGAUCGCAAGACCUCGCGCGUUUGGAGCGGCCGAUGGCAGAUUAGGUAGUUGGUGGGGUAAAGGCUUACCAAGCCCGCGAUCUGUAGCUGGUCUGAGAGGAUGAUCAGCCACACUGGGACUGAGACACGGCCCAGACUCCUACGGGAGGCAGCAGUGGGGAAUUUUGGACAAUGGGCGAAAGCCUGAUCCAGCCAUUCCGCGUGCAGGAUGAAGGCCCUCGGGUUGUAAACUGCUUUUGUACAGAACGAAAAAGACUCUUUCUAAUACAGAGAGUCCAUGACGGUACUGUAAGAAUAAGCACCGGCUAACUAACGUGCCAGCAGCCGCGGUAAUC